CCUACGGGAGGCAGCAGUGGGGGAUAUUGCACAAUGGGGGAAACCCUGAUGCAGCGACGCCGCGUGUGGGAAGACGGUCCUCUGGAUUGUAAACCCCUGUCCCCAGGGACGAAGAUGACGGUACCUGGGGAGGAAGCUCCGGCUAACUACGUGCCAGCAGCCGCGGUAAUCCGUGGGGAGCGAGCGUUGUCCGGAUUUACUGGGUGAAAAGGGAGCGUAGGCGGGGAUGCAAGUUGGGGGUCAAAACUACGGGCUCAACUGGUAGUCGCACAUAAAACUGCAGCUCUUGAGUGAAGUAGAGGCAGGUGGAAUUCCUAGUGUAGCGGUGAAAUGCGUAGAUAUUAGGAGGAACACCAGUGGCGAAGGCGGCCUGCUGGGCUUUUACUGACGCUGAGGCUCGAAAGUGUGGGGAGCAAACAGGAUUAGAUACCCGAGUAGUC
rnacentral:rRNA from 1 species